GAUUUUCUGAGUUGUUCCAGUGUGGGGUCAAUGCUUUACUGAAAUUUCUCCUCUUCUCCCCGUGCUGCUGUCUCUAGCCUCCCUUGGUACCGAAGCUCUCCUGAGUGUACCCAUAGCUGUUAGCAGCCCUGAGGGGCCUCACCUGGGACCACCACCACACCCUCCAGCCAUGCUCCAGGAGCCCAUUUAAGCUCUGCCUGGGUUCCACAGUCCUCUUUUGAGCUCUGUGGUUGCUGUGCCUGCCUGCAGCCCUGGCUCUGCUCCUGCCCCCCGGACAGACGGCAUGCUCUGGUGCUGCUGCUACUAAACAUGCUCUGCCUCACCCUGCAUCCACCCAAGAGGUCGUUCUGCCCUGUAUCAGAAAGGGCCAGGACACUGGGUAUCACUGCCUCCCGGCUGCGGUAUAUCAGAAGGGGAAGGUCCCUGCUGAAACUUGUCCCAUGGCUGAGGUUCUUCAAAGGAUGUCUCGUGUAGAUCUGAUGUCUGAUUAGGGUUGAACCCCCCUCAGCAAUGUGUCCCUUUUAAGAGUAAGAUUCAGUUCAGGAUGAAUACACCUAAACGCAGAUGUCAAAAUGUGAUUCUGAUCUCCCACAAUGGAAGCUGGUUAAAGGUUUUUUACAUUUUUUUAAUCAGCUGGGUUAAAAAUUACCUUUGAUAGAGCGAGCAUGCAUGAUAAGUCACAUUUCUUUGAAAGUCCCGGGGACGGGAGGUAGCAGACAGAGGGAAUGGCUCAGUCCUGGCUGCUGCCUGUGGCUGCAUGGCACACGGUGAGCAUCAGCUCGGAGAUGCCAGGACACCCCUCCUGGGGGCUUGCAGGUGAUGUGCUUUGCCCAAGCUGAGCAAAGCCAGAUCUUUUUGUUUAUCCUUUGUCUCCAGGGACACGUGGGAUGCUCUGGUUCUCACCUUAAUGCCACAAGUGGUUUGGCUGGUGCAGCUGGUCAUGCUCAUGCUCAUCCCGUCACCUGAGCAGGCCUGCAAGUGCACCGCAAGCCUGUGUUUGUAACCCCUCUGUCAAGUCUUUUAGCAGCCGUGGGUUGGCUGCUGUGUGUUCUGUGACCGCUCGGGAUGCGGUGUGCCUGGGAGAUGCAGCUAACAGACACUGAGUGCGUAAGGAGGGCUGGAGUUUGUACUGACAAGCUUGGCAGGUUCUCAGGACAGGUUUUGACUAUUCAUGUAUAAACAGGAAGAGGUAAAAUCUUUUGGCUCCAGAACUGGGCUGGGGAGGUUCUCUGGAGAGCUGGGUUCUGUUCCUGGCCUGGCUGUUCCUCCGGUCUCAUCAGAUAUUUAAGCUCUGCCUUGCCUCAGUUUCCCCUGGCCUGCUCUCACAGUCAAAUCACAACCAUCCUGACAGCCUCCCUCACUGGGGGUGAUGAUCAAGAUAACCGGCAGUGUGCUGGCAAUCAUCCCUGUGGCAUUCAAACCAGUUGGCCUCCGUGUCCUUAGCUCAGCAUACACAUUAGAUGGAAAUGGGCAACAUAUUUUUCCCGGAGGGACUUCUGGACCCCUUCCAGGCAUAGCUGAAAGCCAUUCCCCAAGCCUUGCAGAACAUUGCACGUGCCAAGGGCUAGCUGGCUGCCUCUUGCUGCUCAGAAGCUCCCACCCUGUUCCUGGGCCUUGUCUGAUCACACGUUCUGCCUCUGUGCUGGGAUCCUAUCCAGGGCUCAACAACUGCAAGAUCACAAUGACAUUGAUAGGAAGCCUUGCCACGGUCUGGAGAGCGCCAGCCUUGUUUUUUAACAGUGCUCAGUCCUUUAAGGGGAGGAUGGCAGAGCUGGGUCACAAUCUGUCCUCUCAGAGGCUCCCAUGCUUGGAGCAAACGUGGACAAGAGAUCGUUCACUCCAUUGAACCCAACGCCUCUGCUGCACCCUCAGCAGCGUGGCAGGAUACAUAUGGAGUCAGAAACACUCGAAGGAAAGAGUGAAGUCAUGAGGUCUCAGGCAUCAGCAGAGGGAUGAUCCUGGGAGCCAGGAAGGAAUUAGCCCCUUCCUCUGCUCCUUUCAGCCACAUAAAACUGGCCAGGUGCUUCGUGGCAGUUUAUUGCUUUCCUCUGAGGCAUUAAGUUUUGGCUGCCAUCAGAGAAAGGAUAUCAGCAUGCUGGUUUGGGAUGGAAAUCUCCGUUCCGGUGAGUGGAAGCACCAAUAUUUCAUUGAAUAAGAAGAAAGUAGCAGGGGCCAGAAAAGCUUUUGUCUCAAUGACUUCACUUCUACCAGGAAAGGUCAGUCUGAGGGGAACAUCCCUUCCCACCCCAUCGCUUCCUACCUGCCUUGCUGGGCGAAUGUAGAGCAUAGGGACAAAUAAUGCUGACCCCCAGUCCUUGUCUGAGCUGUUAGCCACUUAGCUAUGAAACCGAGCCCCUUAGCUCCUGGCAGGGGCUGUACAGACAGUUAAGCUAAAUUGACAAAGAUCCCAAUGUUUUGAAAUACUUCCUUUGUCAGGAAAAGCCUGUGCUUAUGUUGUGGGUUCAGGCCUAUGAGAAGUUCAGGGCAUUUCACUCUUCCCACUUUCUCUUGCUGUUUGACCUUCUCAGAUUUUGCUUGUUGUCUUCUGUAAAUCAGUUUCAGCACCGGUGUGACUGUGUAGGAGCUGGUGGAGUUACUCCCAGGCUGGAUGUUUACUUUUUAGCCUCCUGUGGAGGAAGCAGUUCAUAUCCCCCUAAAUCAAGGCUGUAUACAGUUCUCAUGUAUUUCACUUCAGCCCUUCAAAAAUAAGAACAAACACUUUGGGAAAAUGUGAGAUGAGUCAUCUGAGUACCUAGCUGAUUCCUUUUCACUGCAAAAUUCAUGGGUUUUGGCUUUUCCUCCCAAUUGUGUGUUCACCCUGUGAAGCAGCAGAUCAAAUUGGUUUGCUCACUGGAUAGUCACAUUGCCUCACUUAGGAAAGAAAAGAGCAAACACCAGAAAUCAAGCUCUGUAGGUAGCUCAUGUUCAACCCUGAACCUCUGUAACCAGCUGACCCAUCCAAGUGAGACAGCCCCAGAGAAAAUCUCAGGUCCUACUGCUACAAAGCAGAGGGCAGAGCAGCUUCCUCUCACUUCUAGAUUUAAAGAACAAAGCUCAAGACAGUUUGUGUGGAGAUGGAAGUGGAAAUCCAUAGAAAGGAUCUGUGCUGUCAUCUCCCAGGUGCCACUCACCCCUUGGGGCCAGUGGGAGAGAAUGUGUGUCCUGUACCCCUCUGCCAUGGCUCAUCUUUUCUGGAGGGAAUCCUAACCUGCCUGUGCCAGUGGUUUCUGCUCCUGUGGCAGGGUUUGCUCCCUUUUAAGAUGCUUUAUGCUGGGGCAGGGAUGAAAGCGUCACUAGCACUCUAGAUGUAAUCUGUCAGACUUCUCAGAUGAGUUUCCCCGUUUAUUUCACUCUAGAGAUCACCUAUCCUUUGACAUAAGGCACUGAUUUUAGGACUGUAGGAGUAGCAAGUCUGCGACCUAGGAUCCAACUGGUUGAGGUCCUGUGUCUGUCAGCUGCAUGCACUGGAGGCUUUGGCAUUGCCAGCCUGAGAGUGACCUGUUCCCUGGGUCUGGUCCCACUUAGCCUGGAACAGACACUGAUUCCACCCCCUUAGGGCAUGGGGCAAGAUCUCAUCCAAAAUGCUGGAUGCUGAUAGACUGGGCAUGGAAUAUAGCAGGCACCCCAGGUUUACUUUCUUCAUUGUUUUCUGGGUUAGUUUCCUGCGCUAUUCCUGCUGUCCAGGCCAGUAGUCAGUAAAACUAGAUGCAGUCCUACUGCAGCUCUUGUUGCCCUGCAGGGAGGGAAGGGUGGAAGGCAGGACUGGUUCCCAGGGAGGAAGGCCAGCACAGCGUUGACUUUGCCUCUAUUUGAGUUCACAGGCUGGUAGACUGCAAAAUGCAUAUAAACUGCAUCAGAGCUUAGCAUCAUGUCAUGCAACCUUAGAAUAAAGGAAAGUAAAAAAGAAAAGUGAGGUAUGUGAUGGUGGACAGUAAAAGUUCUGAAAGGAAGACGGGAGAGUAGGCAUAAAAGAGCAAAAGCUGGGUUUAGAGGAAGAAGAGUUGGCUUGCCAGGUAAUUUUUUUCUUCCCAAGUGCUCCCCAGCCUUAAUUUAUACAAUAUAAAUAAUUAAAAGCUGUGCAGGCCCAGUGCUAAUCCUUGUGGUAUUCCACAAGCAACUUCCUUCCCGCUUAGAAAGGAUUCCAUUGAGAAUUAUCCGAUGGUUCUUGCUCUGCAGCCAAUUUUCCACUCCCUUCCACAAGUCAGCGAGUAGAGCCUGAGCUCUCCUUUUCCUUGGUUCAGCCUCUCCCAAACUGGCAGAAUGGCAGAGAAAUCCCAGUAUGUGAGGCCUCCAGCGAGCCUAUUUCCUCCAGUCCUGGAGCUAUCUGUGCUAAAAUCUCACAGCAGACCUGGAGGGGAGAGGAGGAGGUCUUGCAAAAAGCUGUGACUUCUGAAGCCAGCUUCAACCACACCACAUCCAUUUGGGCACGUAAAUCAGCCCUGCAGCGGUUGUGCCAUACCACUGCAGCUGAAGUUUGACAGUCGAAAUUGAUAUGGUAGUGUGGUAUUGUCCCAGAAGUUCAGGGCACUAAUGGAGACCAGUUUAGCUUGCGUGCUGUGGGAGCGUCAGUAAUGCGAUGGAGACCCUGGAAUAAAGAAGGGGUUGUUCUCUCUUCCUUUCCCUGCACUAAAUUGUGACAGCAAGGCACAUCCAGUCAAGAGUAUUGGUUUAGAAGGGAUUAUGGAGACUGUGGUGAGUCUCAGUGACAUGUAUCCUGUAUAUAAAAUGGAAGACUUCCAUUGUGAUUUAGGCAAGGCUGAAUACUUCUGGUCUGAAAAGAGGAGGAAUGUAACCCUAGAGAAAGCCUUUGUAGCUGCAAUCCCUGUUCCUUAGGGAUGGGGACACAGUUCAGUUCUAGUCAAUCUCUUUGAGACAGAGCCAAGCCUUGAAGACUAUCAGCAAUGUGUUGCUGGAAAGACACAGACUCAGUGUUUGUGCCAACAUUUUGCAAUGGGUCGGAGGAAAAAAAGCAUAUUUGGGGAGAACGGUUGCAAAAGCUGAAGGAGGCUUUUUCAAGUAAGAAAUUACCUGACUGUGGGCAGGGGUAAGAUUAUCACAUAUUCAGGCAUUCAGGAUCCUUGCAGAACCGCUCUGCUUAGGCUUCCUCAAAGAAAGGGAGUAAAUUCCCAGUUGCCGAGUUAGAGAUUAGAGGUGAAGAAUUUGAUAUGAACUGGCUCAAUCACAGACAUGUUUUCAACAGCAAGUUUGAAAACAAAGUAUUUCAACAGCCAGUUCUCCAGGACUGCACCAAACAGCCUUGUGCUGCUAGUAUUACCCUCUGCUCUUAUGAUUUAAUUCUGUCCAACGCAGAGUAGUUCAGGAGCUAUUUCCAUCUGGGUCAGACUGUUGUGGUAUAAACAAGAAACAAACUAGAAAUAAAUUACAUAUGGACCCUGGAUGACAGAGCAGCAGUCUCCGUGCAUCAGGGCUUCUCUGAGCUCAGAUAGAUGGCCAGGUCACCAUGUAAUCCUUGAAGGAUGUGGCAGGUAGCUGGGAGAAAUGAAUAUAUUCAAAUAGUCUGCCUGGUGGGAAGGACACAGGCUGGGUUUAAAGAGGAGCCCCAGGUGCAUGUUUUGCAAAGUCACAUUCAGGACUUGCUUGUCACCAAGUGACAGACCAAGACCUGCAAGUCCAGCGUUGCCUGUGGCGCUCCUUAUCACUUAAAACAUUGGGCAAAGCAAAUUUAAGAGGAAGGCACGACUGAGGAGUCAGUCAGGACAGCAGUGAGGCUGGCUGUACACUGAAGCACACCAGGGUUUCUGCAGCGAAGACAAUACAACUGCUCCCAUAAAAAUCCAGGAGGUGUGCUGCUGCACGCUCUGGCCAGCCGCCGCUAAUGAAUCAUCCAGCUCCUGGAUCAUUCCCAUGAAAGGGAUGGAAAAUGGACCCAAUCCAGAGAUCUUGGGAGUUCAUUGCAAUGUGAUAACCCUGUUUACUACUUUAAGAGCUCCAGAAGUUCAGGAGGUGCUGGCAGAACAUCUGCUUACUGCAGGAUCUUGCCAGCUGCUCUGUGGAGAUAUCUGUGCUUCAUUUGUUCGUUUGGGAUGCCUCAGUGUGAUGCUAUAUCCUAAAGAGUAAAUGGGUCUGGAGAGGAGCAACCCUGCUUCACUUCCCGAUGGAAACUGAAACCUCUGCUAAGCUCCCAGCAGACCCAGCUCAAUUCUCAGAGGGCACAGCAGCUGGGAGCUGGGGUCAUACUGCCUUUACAGUUCCCUUUUCUCGCUGAUCCACUUGCAGAAACUCUGAAGCUACUGGAGAAAACAUACAUGUGGAAGACUCCUGAUCAGACCAGGAAGCAAGAAAAAGAGACCACACCGGAUUGUAGGAUAAUUCAUACUGGAAGAGUCCUCGGGAGUCCUGUGGGUCUGCUUGUUGACUCUGGAGCACCAGUGGCAUCUUGGUCUGGCACAGCAGAGCUCCUGUUACAUCCUCCUGCUCCAGCCCAGUCCUGGGUAUUCAUUAGAGUCAGUCGAGAGUAUCUGGACUGGCAAUUACCUCCAGACUCCAGCUCAAAAGGAAUUCAUUAGAACGGAGACUGCUGUGCAGAGACAUCCGGGGCUUUGUGUGGCGGCGCCCAUCUGAGCAGGCUGGCCCUUGGAAAGAGGUGGAGCAGGGAAGGCUUUGGGGUGGAUAAGGGAAGAAUGCAGAGACAGGAAGCCCUGAAUACCCACAGUGCCACUGCCCCUGCCAUUUCAGUUGAGAGAACAUCUCCGGCUCCCUGCACGAGGACUGCCCCUCACCACCAUUGUAUCUGGCUACCUGGAAAGCCAUUUGCAAGCCUUCCCCGUUGCAUCCAGUGUGCAGCCACAAGAACAGCAGCCAUCUGGAUCCCCUCCAGCUGUCCAGUGAGAGAAAGGGAAAAGCAGUUAGUAGUAGCAGAGAAAAGGGGAAAAAAAAUAAGAAAAGGCCAGAAAUCAUUUUUCCUGGCACACUAUGACGCACAGAUUUGGGAAUGAGGGUUGUGAAAGCUUUUUGUUUAGCUUAUUCUUUUCUGGUCUGACAGCUGAUAAGUCCCACAGCUCAGAAACAUCUGACAGGACUGGCUGAAGUCAAUUCAUCUUUCAUCUGCCCAUCACGCUCCUGAAGCGGAGAGUGACAGGGCUGCUCCUGCUCCAUCUGAAUGCCGCUCUCUCUCCUUCUCCCUCUUUCGUGUGCUGUUGUUUGGAGCUUGGGAAAACCAGUUUCCUUCCUGCCUGCAGUCCUCUCCCCAGGUUCAGGGCAGCGUCCGUCUGCCCUUGCACCUGCUCCGUCCAGCUGCAAGCUGCCUCUGCUGCAAUCAUUUGCACUCGACCCAGCAGCAGGCUGAUGGGGCCCCUCCGGCUUCCCCUCAACUCCUUUCCCUGUCAUAUUUUCCUUGCUGCUCUUGCAAUUAGCGCGCUUGUUCGUUGCUCCUCUUGCUAGCUCCUUCUGCUUUCCUGGCACGCUCCCCUGUCAGCCUCCCCCAGCUCCUCGUGCAUUCCCUACACCAGCAGCUCUCAGAUGGGGUUUUCAAGGCAUCGCUCCCUUGCUCAGUGCUCGGUCCCCACAAACUGCAGAGUAUCCACCUUGCAGGUGCAGAGAUGUAGUCCUUGUGUCCUUGAGCAUCUUCCAUGGUUAGAUCUUCGCUGGCACAUAGUAACUCAUGGCAUUGCCUCUUCUCAUUGGGGAGAAGACCCUGGUGUUGACCCUUUAGGUUGGAUCAGAAAAAACUUUUCACUUGAGGCCAUGUAUCAUCUAGCAUAUGAUGUGUAGGUUUUUGGUGGGGCAUUUCCGCUUGCUGAUGGAGGAGAGAGAAAUAUUACAGGUAGCAAAAGAAGAGCCUAAGACCCCAAGUUACUGAAAAGGGAUUUUUUAUUCCAAAGGUGGGUUUUCUGGCCAUAGACUGCUGGAAAACAAAACAAAUGGAACAAUUAAGGAAAAAAAAAACACAAAAGAAACAAACAAAAAAAAACAAAACCCAAACACGUUUAUUAAUGAUUGGGAUUAUAAAUGGUACUGUCCUUCUACAUAAAUUUUCACAGUUAGGAAAAAUCUGAAUGACACUUAAAAACAAGAACAACAAACCACUCUCCAGGCUGCCGGGAAAUCUCGGUUUGCUUCCUGCAGCAGAAAAUCAAUGACUUGAUUUCAUUUGAAUUUGACAGGCUGCGUCUCCCAAAUAAGGCACCCCAUUGGACACACUUGUAAGGCUGUUUCAGCAGACUCCCUGCUUUGCAUCACAAGGCGGUUGUUCGGGUCCCCAGUGAUUUGUUUUCUCAUGCAAGUGUUUUGCUGGAGAAAAACAAGCACCUGUUUUGCGAAACAGGACCUCUAACAUUUAAUUUACUCAUUUCUUUUAACAGGCUCCACAUCGUGAAUUUAUCUGCUGUGGGUUCUGCAGCCCGUGCUCCCACAGCUCCCCCACUCAUCAUCCCUUCCCAGAUUCAAAAUUAUGUGGCCGGGUUAUGUCUGGCCACCAGCUGGGCCCCAAAGCCCUUGGAAGAAGCUUGGCUGAAUCCUCCCCAUAUCGCAUGGUUGGUCUCAGAAUAUCUGUUUAUAUCCUGCAAAUUUGCGCGAUGCGGCCCCUUACCAGGAUCCCCACAACUUUACAAGCAGCGACACAAGUCUUGCCGGGCCAGCCAAGAGCUUGUAUAGACUGAUAAAAGUGGUGGCAAAAUCAAUCUCAGCUCAGUGCCCCUGGUUGUAUCUUUCCAAUGCGGCUUGAACAACAGAGGAAAAGGGAAAGAAAGGAGCAGGGGGGGAAAGAAAGAGCCUCAAGUAUUUUGUUGAGUUGCCGGAUCUGGUUCAGCGCCAUUAAGAAAGAGGAUAUUGAAGAGUGCUUUUCAUUCCACCAUUUUGCAGUGGGUAAUUGCUUUCCACACGGUGCAUUGGGUUUUGAUGUGAGUCCAGCUGCAGUAACGCAAGUUACGGCAAGGGCUGUUCCAGUGCAAAUGUGUUAUUUGAGUGUCUCUUUGCUCACACUAUGACUAAACAGAAGCAGCUGUGGCCAGAGGGCCAUCAGUGCUCUGUAUCACACAAUCUGGCAUUUCAUGGAAAGUUUUCGUGUUUUCAGUUGGAAAAACUUUCUUUCAUCCAUGGCUGGAAGUUUUGAAGAAAUUUAAAUUUUGCAUGAUACACAAAAAUGCCCCAAGAAACAAUUGUCCUUUCCAGAGGGGAUACAUUGCUGGCACCAUCUCAGCCUCUCACAUAUUAUAAGCCUCAGCAUACCUAAGAGCCAUCACUGUAUGUUGGUCAGAAAAGAUACCUGUGUGUUUCUGGAGGACAUCAGUUUUAAGAAAACAUGGUAAAACUUGAGUAAAGGCAGUUUGGAAUAAACAAACUACACUGCUAAGUCAGGGCAAGAAGAUCACAUCAGUAUGUGGCCUUAUAAUCUGUGGGGAUGAGAAUUUCUUACAGUUCAGCUAUUUCAAAACUAGCCUGGAGAAAGCACUGAAGGGAAACAAGCUUGCCUUAGCAAAAGUUUGAUAAAUGUCUCUACCCUGCUUCAGCUGUAACUUGCACGAAGUUUUAGCUAUCAGCAACAAAGAGCCCAGAACAUUGGGCGAGCAGCUCUGAUUGUCUCCAGGGGAGUCGAGCAAGAAGGGCAAAGAUACAGGCUUGUAGCAUUUGCAAGAUCUGGGGCUGGCUCACAAGGAGCAGCAGCCAAGUCUUUUGGGAAAGAUUUUGUACAUGAAUCCAGGCAUCUCUAGACUUAUUUAUAUAUUUUAAAUUAUUUAAUUGAUUUAUUUAUUGAGGUUAUUUUCAGGCCCUCAGAAGAAGAACAUUAUUAGAGGGUCUGUUUACAACCUGGACUGCAUGGCAAAGCAAGUAAACAAACAAGCAAAUAGAUGGAAACAUGAAGAUGGGCCUUUUACAUAGGCUCAUUUUACAUUUGCUACCCUCCUUAGAAAAAAACAAGGAAACAAGAAAGAUCUACUGAAGAGAAAAUAUGGUUCCCCCAAGGUCUCAUAUUCCUUAAUUGCAGCUAGAAGCAAGUGACUUUCUCAGGUUUGAUGCAAUGAGCCUUUGGGAACCACUGAGAUUAAAACUCAGGAUCUUGAAUCCAACUUUUAUUUCCCCCUUGAAAUCCUAGACCACACAGCCUUCUGCUUGCAAGUGCAUGGGCACAUCUAUGCACGUGGAGGGGAAGCUCAGUAACACAUAGGUGGUCUGCUCUCUCUGAGAGGAUACACACGGUAAUGGAGAUGAAAACCAUGAGUCAGUGUAGGGAAGAAUGAUGCUGGUUCUGACAAGCCAGUCAGCUGCCUGUAGCUUUUGCCCUAUGUACCUUAUGUCUUUCAUUUUCUUAUUCAAUCUAUUUUUUUGACUGGCCUUGAUGCUUAAACCAUAAUUUACUGAUAGCUCUCCUUGGUAAUUCAUUUCACACGUUCAUUACAGUCCACUUGGCUAUAAACACAUAUGGAUUUCCUUUUUAACUCUUCAUUUCCUAAGUUUUGGAUAGAGAGGUUCUAAAGCUAAACCACAGGAAUGGUCUGUGCAGCUCCAGUUUAUUAAAUCUACCCCACCAGUGUCAAGUGUCUACAGUGCAUACAAUUAUUUGGGCCAUGCUACAGUUAUGAGAGAAUUCAUUUCACCCAAGGGUGGAUUAAGUCUGUAGGUGUUUUGUAUCAGAAUGGUGAUAUUCAUGUUGCAACACGAGAUGGAAAUGCUGAAUUCUUAGGGUCUCCUCAGAUCUCAGAACACGCUCAGGAGUUCAUGACUUCUAAAGCCAGGUUCAGCCAACUACUUCCUCUCCAUAUAUACCGCAUAAUCCAUGUGCAUAAGACUACAUUAAAAAAGCUGUAUAGCAGGCAAAGGUCAAGGUCCUUUGGGUACUUCAUGAGAAGUAAAACCAAAGUGCAAUUAACCCCAAACAGGCAGAAUGUCUGAAUGCAAGAAACAGCAGAUGGAAAUAUGUACAGUCAGCUUUAUCAGCAACCUUUUUUAUACCCUCAGAUGUUGAACAUUUUAGACUAGUCUGAUCAAGUUAGACAGGAAAAAGGACGGGUAAGUUGACGGUAUCUCAGUCUGGCUAUAUACAGUAUUGAGAAGCCAGCAGGCAAUUGGAACUACAGGUUAGAGAAACUGCAGAAUUCUGAGAGAAGUCCUGUGAUUUGUACCUGGAAGUGAUCAAGCCCCUGAGGAGUAAAAUCCUAGGAGAUUCACAGCCUGAAAAUUUUCCUAGUCAGACACUUCUGCACUUGACAUAAAUGGAUAAAGAAGAAUUCAAAAAUCCAUUCAAAAAUCUGUCUUCCUUAUCCCAGGCUCUCUCAUGUUUCUCACUUUCUAGUUUGGAACACCUUUCCCAUAAAAUAAGGUGACAAAAAAGCAUGUCCUUACAGUGAAUAGCAUUCAUAAUCGGAUGAAUACUAUCAUAUGUUUGGUUUUCUUCACUUAAGUGUUUUUUUAAUUUUUUUUUUUUAAUUUUUUUAUUUUUAAUUUUUAUUUUCCCCCUAGGAAUGAGGAGUAUUUACUGACCUGAGUUUUAUCUCAGUCAAAAUCUUCACAGGAAAGUGUCUAAGAAGAUACUUCUAAAAGGAGGCCUACUGUAGUUAUUGAGAUCAGACUGCAUGGCAAGUUUAGAGAGAUGGUUCCUGGCUAAACAUGAAGCUGAGACCUAGGAGAUUUAAACUCAGUGAGGAUUUAUUAUGACAGACAAGGAAAACAGGACAAAAUCCCCAGAAUCUUUUUUUUUGACAGGUAUCCAGUAGAAUCCACAAUGAUCCAUCCAACAGGAAAUUUGGGGGCCCAGAAGACAGAUUCCUCUUGAUGAAGCACAUAUUUCACUGGUUUUCUUCUUAUGUGCUGGUGCUGGUGGAUGACUGAAGCCCAACUUCCUGGCCACCGCAGUGGCUGACUCUGCUGACUCGUCUUCAGUUUUUAUAAAUUCCUUAUAUCGCGGGCCUAUAAGUGUCCAAAGGACUUCAGAUGAAACCUCUUCUUGAGUAAAGAGUGAGAGGAAACGAUGACUUUCUUUAAUAAUUUAAAGUCUACUGUCUCACUGUCUCCUUGGCUAUUGCUCCUUUUCAUAGACAGUCACUUAGACUGUCUAAGAGCUGCUAAGUCCUGUGCAAAUCUCU